GAUGAACGCUGGCGGCGUGCCUAAUACAUGCAAGUCGAGCGAACAGACGAGGAGCUUGCUCCUCUGACGUUAGCGGCGGACGGGUGAGUAACACGUGGAUAACCUACCUAUAAGACUGGGAUAACUUCGGGAAACCGGAGCUAAUACCGGAUAAUAUAUUGAACCGCAUGGUUCAAUAGUGAAAGACGGUUUUGCUGUCACUUAUAGAUGGACCCGCGCCGCAUUAGCUAGUUGGUAAGGUAACGGCUUACCAAGGCGACGAUGCGUAGCCGACCUGAGAGGGUGAUCGGCCACACUGGAACUGAGACACGGUCCAGACUCCUACGGGAGGCAGCAGUAGGGAAUCUUCCGCAAUGGGCGAAAGCCUGACGGAGCAACGCCGCGUGAGUGAUGAAGGUCUUCGGAUCGUAAAACUCUGUUAUUAGGGAAGAACAAAUGUGUAAGUAACUAUGCACGUCUUGACGGUACCUAAUCAGAAAGCCACGGCUAACUACGU
rnacentral:rRNA from 1 species